UACGUAGGGUGCGAGCGUUAAUCGGAAUUACUGGGCGUAAAGCGUGCGCAGGCGGUUUUGUAAGCCAGAUGUGAAAGCCCCGGGCUUAACCUGGGAAUGGCAUUUGGGACUGCAAGGCUUGAGUGCGGCAGAGGAGACUGGAAUUCCUGGUGUGAGCAGUGAAAUGCGUAGAGUAAUCAGGAGGAAUACCGAUGGCGGAAGGCCAGGUCUCGUGGGAGCUGACACUGGACCGCUCAUG
rnacentral:rRNA from 1 species